rnacentral:rRNA from 1 species
GACGAACGCUGGCGGCGUGCCUAAUACAUGCAAGUUGAGCGAUGAAGACUGGUGCUUGCACCAAUUUGAAGAGCAGCGAACGGGUGAGUAACGCGCGGGGAAUCUGCCUUUGAGCGGGGGACAACAUUUGGAAACGAAUGCUAAUACCGCAUAACAACUUUAAACAUAAGUUUUAAGUUUGAAAGAUGCAAUUGCAUCACUCAAAGAUGAUCCCGCGUUGUAUUAGCUAGUUGGUGAGGUAAAGGCUCACCAAGGCGAUGAUACAUAGCCGACCUGAGAGGGUGAUAGGCCACAAUGAGACUGAGACACGGCCCAAACUGCUACGGGAGGAAGCAGUAGGGAAUCUUAGGCAAUGGACGAAAGUCUGACCGAGCAACGCCGCGUGAGUGAAGAAGGUUAUCGGAUAGGAAAAAUCUGUUGGUAGAGAAGAAAGUUGGUGAGAGUGGAAAGCUCAUAAAGUGACGGUAACUACCCAGAAAGAUACGGAUAAAUACGUG